rnacentral:rRNA from 1 species
GACGAACGCUGGCGGCGUGCUUAACACAUGCAAGUCGAAUGGAAAGGCCCUGCUUUUGUGUGGUGCUCGAGUGGCGAACGGGUGAGUAACACGUGAGUAACCUGCCCUUGACUUUGGGAUAACUACAGGAAACUGGGGCUAAUACCGGAGAGGAGCUCCUGCUGCAUGGUGGGGGUUGGAAAGGUUCGGCGGUUGGGGAUGGACUCGCGGCUUAUCAGCUUGUUGGUGGGGUAGUGGCUUACCAAGGCUUUGACGGGCAGCCGGCCUGAGAGGGUGACCGGCCACAUUGGGACUGAGAUACGGACCAGUCUCCUACGGGAGGCAGCAGUGGGGAAUAUGGCACAAUGGGGGGAAGCCUGAGGAAGCAACGCCGCGUGCGGGAUGAAGGCCUUGGGGUGGUAAACCGAUUUCGCCUGUGACGAAGCGUGAGUGACGGUAAUGGGUAAAGAAGCACCGGCUAACUACGUG